GAUCAGGUGGGACUCCCCGCCGAAUUUAAGCAUAUUAGUAAGCGGAGGAAAAGAAACUAACAAGGAUUCCCCUAGUAGCUGCGAGCGAAGAGGGAAGAGCCCAGCACUGAAUCCCGAGGGCCUCGCUCUCAGGGAGAUGUGGUGUUUCGGAGUGUCCUUUUAACCCGGGGGGCCGCGCACCGUGUUCAAGUCCAUCUUGAACGGGGCCAAGGUCCGUAGAGGGUGCCAGGCCCGUAGACGACCGGUGCCGACCCCGGGUGGGCACCUCCUUAGAGUCGGGCUGCUUGGGAGUGCAGCCCUAAGCGGGUGGUAAACUCCAUCUAAGGCUAAAUGCAACCACGAGACCGAUAGAGAACAAGUACCGUGAGGGAAAGUUGAAAAGAACUUUGAAGAGAGAGUUCAAGAGUACGUGAAACCGCUCAGGGGUAAACGGAAAAGACCCGAAACACCGAAAAGGGAGAUUCACGUCUUCUCGAGGGCGUCUGCCUUCGGUUGGGGGAUGGUCUGACGCCCCGCUCGGCUCGUCCGUGGCGGUGGGUGGGCCGCCCCCUCCGGAGUGCCAGGCCUCUCGGGGGACCGCACUUCUCCCCGAGUAAGACGUCGCGACCCGCUCCGCGGGGGUCUAACGGCCGGAAGAAAGCCUGGUCGGGGCUUUCCCCUCGUGGGUUGGUUCUCGACCAGUUCUCCGGACCCGCGGCUCCCGGUCCGGGCGGUCUUAACGAUGUAGCUAUGGUCCGCUCCUCGAGAGCGCCGACGUCUCCCCGCAAGCUCGGGUCGGGCCGUCGGGCCGUAUCACCAAUUGGUACGCCCGAUACCCGCCCGGACUGUUGGCGGUGGGGUACUCAGGCCGAGUCCAUGUCACGCUCGUCGGCGGCGCUUCAGAUUCGGGCACUUAUCCGACCCGUCUUGAAACACGGACCAAGGAGUCUAGCGUGUGCGCGAGUCAUUGGGUGGAAAACCUAAAGGCGCAAUGAAAGUGUCAGAGGGCGCUUCGCGCUCUACUUGGGAGGAUGGGUUUCCGGUCCCCGGACCGGGGCCCCGCACUCCCGGGGCGUCUCGUUCUCGUCUCGAGUCGAGACGCACCAGGAGCGCACACGCUGUUACCCGAAAGAUGGUGAACUAUGCCUGGCCAGGACGAAGCCAGGGGAAACCCUGGUGGAGGUCCGAAGCGAUUCUGACGUGCAAAUCGAUCGUCUGAGCUGGGUAUAGGGGCGAAAGACUAAUCGAAGCAUCUAGUAGCUGGUUCCCUCUGAAGUUUCCCUCAGGAUAGCUGGCUCUCGGGAAGAGACGAGUCUCAUCCGGUAGAGCGAAUGAUUAGAGGUGAUGGGGUCGAAACGACUUCAACCUAUUCUCAAACUCCCAAUAGAUGAGAGCCCCGGCUUGCUUGAAAGUGAAGCCGCGGGACUCGGAUCGGAGAGAUGCCAAGUGGGCCAAUUUUGGUAAGCAGAACUGGCGCUGUGGGAUGAACCAAACGCGGAGUUAAGGCGCCUGAUUCGACGCUCAUCUGAAACCAUGAAAGGCGUUGGUUGCUUAAGACAGUGGGGCGGUGGCCCUGGAAGUCGGAAUCCGCUAAGGAGUGUGUAACAACUCACCUGCCGAAGCAACUAGCCCUGAAAAUGGAUGGCGCUGUAGCGUCGUGCCUAUACUCCGCCGUCAACGGCAGAGCGGGCGGCCCUCUCUGGGGGCGUCGCCGUUAAGCCUUGACGAGUAAGAGGGUCGCGGCGGUGUGCGCGGAAGGGUCUGGGCGUGAGCCCGCCUGGAGCCGCCGCCGGUGCAGAUCUUGGUGGUAGUAGCAAAUACUCCAGCGAGGCCCUGGAGGACUGAUGUGGAGAAGGGUUUCUUGUGAACAGCUGUUGCACAAGAGUCAGUCGAUCCUAAGCCCUAGGAGAAAUCCGAAGCGACGGUUGUGCCGUACACUCUCUAAUGUGCGCGGCGGACACCCGGCCGCCACAACGGCCUCUUGUCCGCACGCAGUCGUGAGCCGGCACCGUUCGGGCGAAAGGGAAUCUGGUUCCUAUUCCAGAACCCGGCAGCGGAACCGCUUCAAUUCGGGCCCUCAUCCGAGGACUCGUCGGGGUGACCCGAAAUGACCCGGAGAAGCCGUAGGGAGGUCCGGGGAGAGUUGUCUCUUCUCUAUAAGCGUUCGAGUUCCCUGGAAGCCUCUAGGAGGGAGAUAGGGUUUGGAACGCGAAGAGCACCGCACUUACGGCGGUGUCCGGAUCUUCCCCUCGGACCUUGAAAAUCCGGGCGAGGGCCACGAGGAACACCGCGCCGGCUCGUACCCAUAUCCGCAGCAGGUCUCCAAGGUGAAUAGCCUCUAGUCGAUAGAAUAAUGUAGGUAAGGGAAGUCGGCAAACCCGAUCUGUAACUUCGGGAUAAGGAUUGGCUCUGAGGAUCGUGGCGCGCCGGGCUUGGUCGGGAAGUGGAGCCGUGCCAACGUGCCGGGCCUGGGCGAGGAUAAGGGCGCUUGUCGCCUGGACCCUAGCUCGGUCCCGUGCCU
rnacentral:rRNA from 1 species